rnacentral:rRNA from 1 species
GACGAACGCUGGCGGCGUGCUUAACACAUGCAAGUCGAACGGUAAGGCCCUUCGGGGUACACGAGUGGCGAACGGGUGAGUAACACGUGGGUGAUCUGCCCUGCACUUCGGGAUAAGCCUGGGAAACUGGGUCUAAUACCGGAUAGGACUCCGGACUGCAUGGUCUGGGGUGGAAAGCUUUUGCGGUGUGGGAUGGGCCCGCGGCCUAUCAGCUUGUUGGUGGGGUGAUGGCCUACCAAGGCGACGACGGGUAGCCGGCCUGAGAGGGUGACCGGCCAAACUGUGACUGAGAUACGGCCCAGACUCCUACGGGAGGCAGCAGUGGGGAAUAUUGCACAAUGGGCGCAAGCCUGAUGCAGCGACGCCGCGUGAGGGAUGACGGCCUUCGGGUUGUAAACCUCUUUCAGCAUCGACGAAGCGAAAGUGACGGUAGGUGCAGAAGAAGGACCGGCCAACUACGUGCCAGCCGCCGCGGUAA